rnacentral:misc_RNA from 1 species
GAUAGAAGGGCUUAAACGUUUUCCGUCUUUCUUUAAACUAUGGUUAAUGCUUGGGCAGCUAGAGGAACGUCUUAGGCAUAUGGAGAAGGCCAAGGAAGCUUAUGAAUCUGGUUUGAAGCACUGUCCUAGCUGCAUACCGCUAUGGCUUUCUCUUGCUCACCUAGAAGAAAAAAUGAAUGGAUUGAGCAAGGCUCGAGCAGUUUUGACCAUGGCCAG